CCAGCGCCUGUCCAGUCACAGAGGUCCUCCACCAAGAGAUCCAGCAGCACUUUCGACAUACAGCAGGCGGAGAAGACACAAACAAACCCACUGUGCCACCUAAACCAUCUUGCAUCAGCACAUCCACAGCCAAGACUGGCGGUGGAAAAGCAUUGUCUCGCCUCAAGCACCUACAGCAGAGCGGAUCAGAAAAGAGCAAAACAAGCAAACAGAGAGAGGACUUCCUUAGAAACCAGGGUCAGCAGCAGUGAGCAGAAGUGAGCGACCCAAACCAACCUGACCUGACCGAAGCUUGUCCACCUCCUCCUCUGCUGUCUUCACCACCACUUCUUCAUCAGCAUCUCCUGACUGAAGCCCACAAUCCUUCACCCAGUUCCUCCUAGUCAAUCCUUUAUGCUUUUAAG